GAAAGCAGCUCAGUGGUAGAGCCCUUGUGUAGCAUGCAGGAGGCCUGGGUUCAAACCCCAGCACUAUCA
rnacentral:tRNA from 1 species